UGGAAGGAGAGGCCAGCCUUCAGGAGCUGACCACUUUACCUCUACUGACGUCAUUAUUCCACCUUUCCUUAUGACCUCUACUGACGUCACCUCACCUGGUAUCACAACCUCAUGACGUCAUCAAUAACUCCGUGUCAUUAUCUCACUUGGCUUACAUGAUGUCACUUCGACUGACAUCACCUCCUAUCCUGACAUUAAAACUUUUCACGAUGUUAUAUCACCUGAUGUCACAACCCUCACACGAUAUCAUGAAUGACCCAAUGUUGACAUCUCAACCACGUUCGAUGUCAUUAACCUACAUGACGUCCUAAACUUAAACGGCAUCAUUACCGCUUCAAGUAAUUACCUUUAUGACCUGACUACACCUGAUAUGACGUCAUCAACUUACCUGACGACGCCCCCCGAGACGGUAGCGCCCUGACAGUCUUGAUCACGAACCCUCGCAAGGCCUGGUCACACCCUCGCCGAUAAGGAGAUACUACCUCUGUCCUAGUGAAUGAUGUAUAAGCCUCACCGACUCCCCGUACUAUCUACACAUCUCAUUCAUAUCGAUCUCAUCACGUCUAGGUCUCGUUUACUACAGAAGCUCCAGUCUGCCUCAGUCUCCUCACUUUUUUCCUUCAAGCGCCGGAAAGGAUAGGAAACUUAUCAACCUUGAUGAGACCUUCGCUAUCGCUGACAAGUUCCCGAUGAACUAGUAUGGAGGACACAGGUAAUGACUCCCGGAAGAUGGCUUCACGCUCAUCAAAGAUCCA